rnacentral:rRNA from 1 species
CCUACGGGUGGCAGCAGUGAGGAAUAUUGGUCAAUGGACGAGAGUCUGAACCAGCCAAGUAGCGUGAAGGAUGACUGCCCUAUGGGUUGUAAACUUCUUUUAUAUGGGAAUAAAAUGUUCCACGUGUGGGAUUUUGUAUGUACCAUAUGAAUAAGGAUCGGCUAACUCCGUGCCAGCAGCCGCGGAAAUACGGAGGAUCCGAGCGUUAUCCGGAUUUAUUGGGUUUAAAGGGAGCGUAGGUGGAUUGUUAAGUCAGUUGUGAAAGUUUGCGGCUCAACCGUAAAAUUGCAGUUGAAACUGGCAGUCUUGAGUACAGUAGAGGUGGGCGGAAUUCGUGGUGUAGCGGUGAAAUGCUUAGAUAUCACGAAGAACUCCGAUUGCGAAGGCAGUUCACUGGACUGCAACUGACACUGAGGCUCGAAAGUGUGGGUAUCAAACAGGAUUAGAUACCCUUGUAGUC